UACGGGGGGAGCAAGCGUUGUUCGGAUUUACUGGGCGUAAAGGGCGCGUAGGCGGCGCAACAAGUCACUUGUGAAAUCUCCGGGCUUAACCCGGAGCGGUCAAGUGAUACUGUCGUGCUAGAGUGCGGAAGGGGCUACUGGAAUUCUCGGUGUAGCGGUGAAAUGCGUAGAUAUCGAGAGGAACACCUGCGGCGAAGGCGGAUCUCUGGGCCUUACCUGACGCUGAGGCGCGAAAAGCGUGGGGGAGCGAACAGG
rnacentral:rRNA from 1 species